rnacentral:lncRNA from 1 species
CUGUCACGAAUAUCGAGGCCUAACUCAUCCUUACAAAACCGGCUUGUAAGGUGAGGAUUGCCUCCUCUUUAUAAACUCUUCUCAAGAGUCCUAUCUAUCCGAUGUGGGACUAAAUCCCACCGAGUGUUGGCUGCUAACAAGUACACCUAUCAUGCUAUCAGUUUCGUCGGUUUCUUUCACUGCUUCCCUUGCAUCUUGAUUGGCUACAGACAUUAUAGUUCUGCUGUUCUAGAUUCAAACACUCCAAUUUACUAUU